rnacentral:rRNA from 1 species
AGAGUUUGAUCCUGGCUCAGGAUGAACGCUAGCGGCAGGCUUAAUACAUGCAAGGCGAGGGGGCAGCAAUGUCACCGUCGUACGGGUGCGUAACGCGUAUGCAACCUACCUUCAACUGGGGGAUAGCCCGGGGAAACCCGGAUUAAUACCGCAUAAUACAGGGGGCCCACAUGGGUCUAUUUGUUAAAGAUUUAUUGGUUGAAGAUGGGCAUGCGUUCGAUUAGCUAGUUGGUAUGGGUAACGGCCUACCAAGGCGACGAUCGAUAGGGGAGCUGAGAGGUUGAUCCCCCACACGGGCACUGAGAUACGGGCCCGACUCCUACGGGAGGCAGCAGUAGGGAAUAUUGGGCAAUGGAUGCAAGUCUGACCCAGCCAUGCCGCGUGCCGGAUGAAGGCCCUCAGGGUUGUAAACGGCUUUUAUUCGGGAAGAAGAGCAGGGAUGCGUCCUUGUGUGACGGUACCGAAUGAAUAAGCACCGGCUAACUCCGUG